rnacentral:rRNA from 1 species
UACGAACUGUGCGAACGUUAUUCGGAAUCACUGGGCUUACAGGGUGCGUAGGCGGCUCAACAAGUCAGGCGUGAAAGCCCCCGGCUCAACCGGGGAACUGCGCUUGAAACUGUUAGGCUCGAGUCAGCUAGAGGUACACGGAACUUCCAGUGGAGCGGUGAAAUGUGUUGAUAUUGGAAGGAACACCGGAGGCGAAAGCGGUGUACUGGGGCUGGUCUGACGCUGAGGCACGAAAGCCAGGGGAGCGAACGGG